rnacentral:rRNA from 1 species
GACGAACGCUGGCGGCGUGCCUAAUACAUGCAAGUCGAGCGGAUCUUCAUUAGCUUGCUUUUGAAGAUCAGCGGCGGACGGGUGAGUAACACGUGGGCAACCUGCCUGUAAGACUGGGAUAACUUCGGGAAACCGGAGCUAAUACCGGAUAAUCCUUUUCCUCUCAUGAGGAAAAGCUGAAAGACGGUUUCGGCUGUCACUUACAGAUGGGCCCGCGGCGCAUUAGCUGGUUGGUGAGGUAACGGCUCACCAAGGCGACGAUGCAGAGCCGACCUGAGAGGGUGAUCGGCCACACUGGGACUGAGACACGGCCCAGACUCCUACGGGAGGCAGCAGUAGGGAAUCUUCCGCAAUGGACGAAAGUCUGACGGAGCAACGCCGCGUGAGCGAUGAAGGCCUUCGGGUCGUAAAGCUCUGUUGUCAGGGAAGAACAAGUACCGGAGUAACUGCCGGUACCUUGACGGUACCUGACCAGAAAGCCACGGCUAACUACGUGCCAGCCGCCGCCGUAAGAC